rnacentral:rRNA from 1 species
AAAUUGAAGAGUUUGAUCAUGGCUCAGAUUGAACGCUGGCGGCAGGCCUAACACAUGCAAGUCGAACGGUAACAGGAAGAAGCUUGCUUCUUUGCUGACGAGUGGCGGACGGGUGAGUAAUGUCUGGGAAACUGCCUGAUGGAGGGGGAUAACUACUGGAAACGGUAGCUAAUACCGCAUAACGUCGCAAGACCAAAGAGGGGGACCCUCGGGCCUCUUGCCAUCGGAUGUGCCCAGAUGGGAUUAGCUUGUUGGUGGGGUAACGGCUCACC